UUCCCCUAGUAACUGCGAGUGAAGCGGGAAAAGCUCAAAUUUAAAAUCUGGCAGUCUUUGGCUGUCCGAGUUGUAAUCUAGAGAAGUAUUAUCCGCGCUGGACCGUGUACAAGUCCCCUGGAAUGGGGCGUCAUAGAGGGUGAGAAUCCCGUCUUUGACACGGACUGCCAGGGCUUUGUGAUGUGCUCUCAAAGAGUCAGUUGUUUGGGAAUGCAGCUCAAAAUGGGUGGUAAAUUCCAUCUAAAGCUAAAUAUGGCGAGAGACCGAUAGCGAACAAGUACCGUGAGGGAAAGAUGAAAAGAACUUUGGAAAGAGAGUUAAACAGUACGUGAAAUUGCUGAAAGGGAAACGCUUGAAGUCAGUCGCGUUGGCCAGGGAUCAACCUUGCUUUUUUGCUUGGCUUACUUUCUGGUCGAUGGGUCAGCAUCAAUUUUGACUGGUGGAAAAAGUUCAAGGGAAUGUGGCAUCUUCGGAUGUGUUAUAGCCUUUGUUCACAUACAUCAGUUGGGAUUGAGGAACUCAGCACGCCGCAAGGCCGGGUUUUUAACCACGUACGUGCUUAGGAUGCUGGCAUAAUGGCUUUAAUCGACCCGUCUUGAAACACGGACCAAGGAGUCUAACAUGCCUGCGAGUGUUUGGGUGAAAAACCCGAGCGCGUAAUGAAAGUGAAAGUUGAGAUCCCUGUCGUGGGGAGCAUUGACGCCCGGAUCUGACCUUUUGUGACGAUUCUGCGGUAGAGCAUGUAUGUUGGGACCCGAAAGAUGGUGAACUAUGCCUGAAUAGGGUGAAGCCAGAGGAAACUCUGGUGGAGGCUCGUAGCGAUUCUGACGUGCAAAUCGAUCGUCAAA
rnacentral:rRNA from 1 species